rnacentral:rRNA from 1 species
AUACGGAGGAUCCGAGCGUUAUCCGGAUUUAUUGGGUUUAAAGGGUGCGCAGGCGGCCAUUUAAGUCAGCGGUUAAAUCGUGGGGCUCAACCCCAUUCUGCCGUUGAUACUGGGUGGCUUGAUUGCGGUCGAGGUUGGCGGAAUUCGUUGUGUAGCGGUGAAAUGCAUAGAUAUGACGAAGAACACCGAUUGCGUAGGCAUCGGCCCAGAACGUAAAUUACGAUCAUGCACGAAAGUGCUGUGAUCGAACAGGAUUAGAUACCCUGGUAGUCCGCACAGUAAACGAUGAAUACUUGUUUUAGGCGAUAUAAUGUCGGAGGCAAAGCGAAAGCGAUAAGUAUUCCAGCUGGGGAGUACGCCGGCAACGGUGAAACUCAAAUGAAUUGACGGGG